rnacentral:misc_RNA from 1 species
AAGUCGUAACAAGGUUUCCGUAGGUGAACCUGCGGAAGGAUCAUUAAUGAAAUGCAAGGACGCUCUUUUUAGAGGUCCGACCCAAAUCAUUUUCCUUUACACUGUGCACAUACUACUUUUUUCUACACCAUUUUUUAACGCAUUAGUCUAAGAAUGUAAAAUCAGUCUCGAAAGAGCAAUAAAGUAAUAAAACUUUCAGCAACGGAUCUCUUGGCUCUC